AAAAAUCCGUCCGCCUAACUCUGUGUGCGUGUGAACUCUUCCUGAACCGAGAUCUGAAGUCUUACGGUGAUAAAUCACCGCCGCGACACACAAACUCCACCAUUUACAACCGAAAGAGGAGCCUAUUUCUGGCCCCUGCUUACCUUAUCCUCUUACGAUGAAUGCAGAGCGCCGGGCAAUAUUUUCUCAUUCAGCGACGAAAUCGAUCAAAGGCAGUAAUCCAGAGGAAGAAGAAAAAAAGUUUUAAAGGCAGCCGGGCUGACUGGGUUGAAGGAGCAGCGGCUGACUGCGCCCUGCCAUGCAAACAGGCAUUAGCAGGCACAACACGCAGGGAAAAAAAAGGGAAGAGCCAAGAGAAGACCCCCUUUUUCCUUUUUCUCUUCUUACUCGCCGAGAUUGCGAAAGCAGGCGUGAGCAGUCGGGUCAGCGCGAUAAGAAGAGUUAUCUGCUCCCAUGCUUGCAGGGUAAUGGACAGGGCUUCAUGGCAAUAUUAACGUCAGCUAAGGCUAUGCUUGACUAUGAGAUCCUUCAGCAGUUACCAUGCAGACACCAGUGAACUGCCCCGAAUCAGAGCGUCACCGUAGACAAGAAAAAUUAUGCAAAUGAAGCAAGCGCCUUGGAAAGCCUGUCCAAAUCAAGUAGUUGCCUCUCCUCCUCCUCCCCCAACAACCCAAAUGAGGUAGUCCUUCUAGAAAAUAAUAACCUUAAUAAUGCCUGGUUUACAAUACACCAUCCCAAAAGAUGUUUAAAAUAAUUUUCUUAUAAUUUACCCCGCAUCCAAGAGAGAAGCUAUGGACCUAAGCAGAUUUUUGGGCUAACAAAGGAAUAAAUAGAGACUGAGAGUGCUGCAUUUCCAUAUCCAUGGGAGAUAAAGAGCUUCUGCGGGCGGCUUAAUCAUUAACCUGCGUUUUUGCACAAAAUGCGCUGUUUUAGCGCUCAGCCGCAAAGGUCCUUUCCAUUUUCACAAUGAGCCCUUUUCCUAGGAAGUAAGAGUGCAGUACUGUGCACAUUCUGAUCAAAGCUGAUAAAUAUUAGAAGGGAACCCCCCACAGCAGCAGGAGCAUGGGGAUGAGAAAUGGGUAGAGGUUUCAUCACCCAAAAGGCCAAAGCGGGAGGACACGCAGCGUGGAGGACAGAAGAAGGGAGACGGGGAAUUCCUUCUGCAUGGUAAUGUUUGCAGCCAGAAUGAAAGACUUGAUAGAAUUAGAUUUAUGACUCUCCUCUCAGCUGUAAACACGGCCAGCAGCUAAAGCCUCUCUGCUGGUUUCAGGCUGUGGGACAGAAACACUUCUGACACAACGAGAAAAAGAUGCAGGCUACACAAAUGGUUGUCGAACUGCCUGGCGGUGUUCUGCAGGUUAAUCCCCUCCUACCUGUCGCCACCGCACCUGAACUUUCCCCUGACCCUUGCAGAGUUGAGUGGGAAGUCAGACACCCAAGCCUCUAAUUUGGUAACUUUGAAUCCCCUUUAAAAUUUUAAUAGGAUAGCAUUCCAACUCAAUGCUGCUUGCAAAACGAAAACAGGGGAGAAAAAAAAAGCAAUACAUGAUAGAUGACGCAUUUAAUCAAAAUAACACAAAUGCUUCCAGAUGUAUUUCCACAAAUCAAGGUUCCUUAUCUCUGUCAGCACAAAGAGGAGCUGCAGGCGCAGAGACCCUCUGGAUGUCGGCCAGACGGCGGGCCAUCUUCCCACAAUGUUGACACUCGGAGCUCUUAACAGCCAGGCUUGGGUUACCGAGCCUCUCAGCCGAAGAUAACUGCUGUAGCGAGGUUUACAUCGGCCAACAUCAAGACUAAUGCGAAAUUCAACGCCUCAAGCUGAGUGGAGCCAGCUCUAAUUAACCCCAGACCAACGCUGCAACCAGGACAGAGGAACUGUUUGCUUGGAGGUGGUUGUAAUAAAGGAAGUUAGAUUGGCUUGUUGAAGUGGCUCUUAUAUUUAUACCAUGGAAAAGCUUUAGUGAGCGUUUUUGAGUAGAAUCUACAAGAUUUACCUGAAGAAUAAUAAUGAUGAAAUUAUAUUCUGAGUUAAAGACAAAGAUAAGCCUUGCAGGUUCCUCAAUUUUAAUGGUGUAUACUAUGAUAGUCAAUAAAUAAAUUAAGCCCAUUGGAGCCAAGAUUAUAUUUAAGAAAAAAUAAAUUAAUUAUUUCAAAUAUAUCCUUUAUAAAGAAAAUGGCAACAAGCCUUUUCCUUAUCCUUCAAUUUUCUAA